GCUCAGGUGGCCUAGUGGUUAGAGUGUCCGCCUCGGAUGCGGGAGGUCGUGAAUUCGAUACCUGGUCGAGUCA